rnacentral:rRNA from 1 species
UACAGAGGGUGCGAGCGUUGUCCGGAAUCACUGGGCGUAAAGGGCGCGUAGGUGGCGUCGCAAGUCGAUGGUGAAAGCUCGUCGCUCAACGACGAGUCGGCCAUUGAUACUGCGAGGCUGGAGCACUGUAGAGGCAGAUGGAAUUCCGGGUGUAGCGGUGGAAUGCGUAGAGAUCCGGAAGAACACCAGUGGCGAAGGCGGCCUGGCUGGGCCGUGGGAUC